UACGUAGGGGGCGAGCGUUAUCCGGAAUUAUUGGGCGUAAAGGGUUCGCAGGCGGCCUUGUAAGUCUGAUGUGAAAGCCCACGGCUUAACCGUGGAGGGUCAUUGGAAACUGGUCGACUUGAGUGCAGAAGAGGGAAGUGGAAUUCCAUGUGUAGCGGUGAAAUGCGUAGAGAUAUGGAGGAACACCAGUGGCGAAGGCGGCUUCCUGGUCUGUAACUGACACUGAGGCGCGAAAGCGUGGGGAGCAAACAGGAUUAGAUACCCUGGUAGU
rnacentral:rRNA from 1 species